rnacentral:rRNA from 1 species
CCGCAUGGUUCAAUCAUAAAAGGUGGCUUUAGCUACCACUUCAGAUGGACCCGCGGCGCAUUAGCUAGUUGGUGAGGUAACGGCUCACCAAGGCGACGAUGCGUAGCCGACCUGAGAGGGUGAUCGGCCACACUGGGACUGAGACACGGCCCAGACUCCUACGGGAGGCAGCAGUAGGGAAUCUUCCGCAAUGGACGAAAGUCUGACGGAGCAACGCCGCGUGAGUGAUGAAGGUUUUCGGAUCGUAAAACUCUGUUGUUAGGGAAGAACAAGUACCGUUCGAAUAGGGCGGYACCUUGACGGUACCUAACCAGAAAGCCACGGCUAACUACGUGCCAGCAGCCGCGGUAAUACGUAGGUGGCAAGCGUUGUCCGGAAUUAUUGGGCGUAAAGCGCGCGCAGGCGGUUUCUUAAGUCUGAUGUGAAAGCCCCCGGCUCAACCGGGGAGGGUCAUUGGAAACUGGGGAACUUGAGUGCAGAAGAGGAGAGUGGAAUUCCACGUGUAGCGGUGAAAUGCGUAGAGAUGUGGAGGACACCAGUGGCGAAGGCGACUCUCUGGUCUGUAACUGACGCUGAGGCGCGAAAGCGUGGGGAGCGAACAGGAUUAGAUACCCUGGUAGUCCACGCCGUAAACGAUAGUGCUAAGUGUUAGAGGUUUCCGCCCUUUAGUGCUGCAGCAAACGC